rnacentral:ncRNA from 1 species
UUAAAGUUUUAUUCUAGCUUUACGGAUUAAUUUAGUAUUCUUAUACAUGUGAGGUUUAAUAAGUUGUGAAACAAUUUAAAUAAUUAUAAAGCUUAUUCGCAGUAUUUAAUAUUGAUUUAUGGAUUUAUGUCUGAAUUGGGGAUUAUUAUAAGGAAUAACAAAGUUUGUGCCAGCAGUUGCGGUUAUACAAACAUUUCAAUUAAUUUUUAUAUAAGGGAGAAUUAAAAUUAUAAGUUAAUAUUUAUAUUUAAAUUUUUUAGGUGAAAUUUUAAGUUUAGGUUAAGUAAUAAUUAUUUUAAGUAUUUUGAAACUGAUUUAUAAACUAGGAUUAGAUACCCUAUUAUUAGAGGUGUAAAGGUUUUAUUAGGUUAGUAAUAGUUAUGUUCUUGAAAAUUAAAGAUUUUGGCGGUAUCUUAGUCCGCUCAGAGGAGCCUGUCUUGUAAUUGAUAAUCCACGAACCAAUAAAUUUUCUCUUUGUUUGUAUAUCGUCGUGGUAGAAAAUUUUAAUAGAAUAGAAAUUUUCACAAUUUAUUAAUAGGAAAUAUCAGAUCAAGGUGCAGCUUAUGGGAAAAACUAAGAUGGGCUACAAUAAUUUAAUUUAUACGGAAAAAUUUAUUUAUAAAAAUUUAGAAGGCGGAUUUGAAAGUAAUUUUAAUUAGGUUAUUGAAAUGACUUGGGCUCUAGGAUAUGCACAUAUCGCCCGUCACUUUCAAUUAAGUUGAAAUAAGUCGUAACAAAGUAGGUGUAUUGGAAAAUGUGCCUAGAAUGCA